rnacentral:rRNA from 1 species
AUUGAACGCUGGCGGCAGGCCUAACACAUGCAAGUCGAGCGGAGCGGCGGAAGGGUGAGUAAUGCCAAGGACUCUGCAUGGGAGUGGGGGAUAACGUCCGGAAACGGGCGAUAAUACCGAAUAAUAUCAGAUGAGCAUGGGUAGGAUUAGCUAGUUGGUGGGGUAAAGGCCUACCAAGGCGACGAUCCGUAACUGGUCUGAGAGGAGGAUCAGUCACACUGGAACUGAGACACGGUCCAGACUCCUACGGGAGGCAGCAGUGGGGAAUAUUGGACAAUGGGCGAAAGCCUGAUCCAGCCAUGCCGCGUGUGUGAAGAAGGUCUUCGGAUUGUAAAGCACUUUAAGUUGGGAGGCGUUACCAACAGAAUAAGCACCGGCUAACUUCGUGCCAGCAGCCGCGGUAAUUC